GAUGAACGCUAGCGGAAGGCUUAAUACAUGCAAGUCGAGCGGUAGGUGGCUUCGGCCAUUGAGAGCGGCGCACGGGUGAGUAACGCGUACAUGACCUGCCUGUCAGAAGGGGAUAGCCCUGGGAAACUGGGAUUAAUACCCUAUGGUAUUGAUAUUAUGAAUGAUAUCAAUUAAAGUUGAGGCGCUGACAGAUGGAUGUGCGUCUGAUUAGCUAGUUGGUAGGGUAACGGCCUACCAAGGCGACGAUCAGUAGGGGGCGUGAGAGCGUGGUCCCCCACACGGGUACUGAGACACGGACCCGACUCCUACGGGAGGCAGCAGUAAGGAAUAUUGGUCAAUGCCCGCAAGGGUGAACCAGCCAUUCCGCGUGGAGGAUGAAGGCCCUAUGGGUUGUAAACUUCUUUUAGAUUGGGAAGAAAAUGCUAGAUGUAUCUGGUACUGACGGUACCAUCAGAAUAAGCACCGGCUAACUCCGUGCCAGCAGCC
rnacentral:rRNA from 1 species